UUCCUUCUGCUUUGUUUCUUAAGGUGAUAAGAAAGAGACAUAGAAAUUACACUUUCUAAUAAAUCUCCUCCUGCCAGUGGAGGCUAUAGAUACGGCUUCUAAGCCUACCCAUCCAAAAUCCAGUAUUUCUUCCUUUGCUCUCUGUAGAAUAUAAUUUCUCAUAACAUUCUGCUCAGACAUGUCUGGAAACACACAAUAAGCCUCUAUGGUUUUCAGAGACGUUUACUAAUUCCCCAUAAUUUUUUUUUUCUUCCCUGACUCUAAAAUAUAUAAAGUUUGACUUUCUGCUCCUCCUCUAGUUCCCGGCUCUAAACGUUUGGUUCAAUUUUCCUGCUUCCCCAUGGGGAAGCUUCUUCCAUUAUAAAAAUAAAUUUGAUUGGUAUCUGAGUUGGUUUGAACUUUUCCCCUAUCGUUGACUGGUUUCCCUUUUGCAGAUGCAUAUCCUCAACUGAUGUUUAAUUUCAGUCUUGAUGAAUUUUUGUUCUAAUAUUAAAAGUCUUCUUGCACAAGUUACGUACAAAUAAACUGGUAUUACAACUGGCAAAAAUAAAAUGCUCUGCCCAACUAUCACCAAUACCAUUUGUGAUGACUACUGACAUAUAAAUGUUAAUAAAAGCAUGAUUUUAAAGAGAAUGCAAGUUACAACAUUCUCAUUUUAUAAGUGUUUUGUUAAAUAUUUUAAUGUACUUACUAGGAUCAAAUCUGGAUAAUUCUUCUUUGGCUCUUGAAUUUGAACUACAUCCAGUCCAUUUUAAGGGUUAAUAAAAUUCAAAUUGAUUUUCACUAUCAAUAAGUGUUUUUUGAAAUUGUGUCUAGGAUUAGCAGUAAACUGAAUUUAAACAAAAACAAAUUCUUUGGCUAGUGUUUUAGCUUCUGAUCUUUUUAUCAGUAAAGAUCUCGUUUCAAAAUCUGUACUUUUACCAAAGUCUGAUCUUUUGUAUGGUUUGCAUAACUGACUCACCGAGUAUUAGCAAGACAGGAACUGCACUAUAAAUAAUGCCUUCUUUGCAAUCUGAUUGCCAUUUCCCUGUGUGUAAACUGAAAUACACAAAAACUCAUACUGUAACUGUUAAGUCAACUUGGGGGAAAUAAUCGGUAAGGAGAGCUGCCUUUCACAUUUACUGAGAUUGAACCUGUUUACAUGUUAACACAGGCGAUAGUGCUCGCAAAUCCCGAAAAAUAAUGUUAUAUUUCCCACUUGGGCAAAGAUCAAACCCCAAAACCUUUGCUCUUAUUGUAUAUUAAUUUUAUAAAAGACUAUGUGAAAGUUGACAGAAAGCAAUUUGAAAAUAUAUAGAAACACGCAUACACACAUUUUAUCUGUUGACCCAGUAGUGACACAUUUAAAAACCUCUUAUAAGAAGGGGAUGAGGAUAGAUUUUCAUUUGCAUUUAUACACUCUGACAGAGGAGCUGCAGUCAGCUCUAAGAUUCCCUCUCAGUAAUUUGUUUUCAUGAUUCUGAUUUUAUGAUGCUCAGAGACCAGAUACAUUUCACAAUUUGCAAUUUAAAAAACCUUCUACUCACCCUUUGCACGCACAUUCCUUAUGCAUUAAAAAAAUGAAAAAAAAAAUCAAAAUAGAUACUGGCAACUCUCAGAAUUUUUGGAAAGAAGAAUCUUCUAUGAGACUCUGAGGCUCAAGAGGCUCAACAGCUUCUGCAAUACAGUAAAACACGAGAAAAGGACAGAUAACUUAAGUAGCCCUUUUUUAGAGUAGAAGACAAUAAAAAUGCUCCUUUUAUUUCCUUCCAGAAGUGAUCUGAAUAUCUACCUGGUCACAGCGUGACUUAACACAACAAGAUUUAGUCACUAAUGCAGUUUGCACAGUUUUGAAUCCAUACAGUACAAUGGAAAUGCAUGCAAGUUCCCUUAAUCCUAGGCUCAAAAUGAAGCAGUGCUCUUUGAGUGAAUUAAGCACAGGAAUUAGUUUACUGCCUUCUAUACUGUUUUUAUCUUUUUCCCUCAUUCAUUCAUGAUUUGCUUUUGCUCAUUCAUCCUCUCCCAGGUCCAUAUUAUUUCAAGUCCUUCAAGAAGGGGAUUAGGACCGCCACAGAGCUGCUGAUCCAAGCCCAGUCCUACCAUAACUUAGCACUUGAUUCAUCCAUGAAAAUGCAGCUCAAGACCUGUGUGGUUACAGCUCCACAUGCUUCAUUCAGAAACAUCACCUAUCAAAGCCACAUGCCAGAAAAGCACCCGAAAUGCUUGAUUCCAUAAAAGCCAGUCAUAACCCACAGGUUGAGACAGUCUCACCAGAAAAAAAAAAAGAAAUAAAAAACAACAACAACAAAAUUUUGGAAUUAUUUCUCCAUAAUAGAAUGCGAGUCUUAAAGUUGACCUUCAGGCCAUGCCAUGAAACCAAAAAAAAAAAGAAGAAAGAAAGAAAAAGCAAACACUCUAGACAUGGAUGGAUGGAUGCUCUGUGCUUUCUGCUGUCUCCUAAACCCCUUCCAAGUCUCCAUCAGAAGGUAGAAUGACUUGCAGCCCAUUUCACGCAACCUGGUAACGGUAACCGGAGAUCUGUCCUACAAAAGGUUUCGUCCCUCACUCCAUGGGAGACCCCCUCAGAACAAGAAACAUUUUUCUCACAGGAGAGUCUCAGAGAGUCUAUGAAUUCCUGUUGGAUGAAAGUUUUCUAAUUUCCUUUCUGCAAAUACCAGGGCAUUUGUUUCUCUUAUGUAAUUUCCAGGGAAUCAGUUGCAUGACCCAAUUGCUAUUCUGUUGGUGGACCAAGGUGCCUUACCGUCAGUCGCCCUUGGUGAGAACGUACUCAAGGGCUGACACAUGACUGCAGCGGAACUGGACAAUUCCUGGAAGGAAAAGGGUUAAGAGCCAGUAAAAACAGCAUAAAUUUACACAUGACCUAGUGUGAUUACACUUUUAUUCUCUUCCGUGCAAGGAACAACAACAAUGACAACCUCCAGAACUCAUGCUUCUGGUCCAGAAACCUCCCAAGUGGACAUGUUUUCCCCCAGUUUAGAUGAUCUCAGCAACAUUCUGGUUAAAAAGAGUCUGGAGGCAAAGACAAGCCCUCACCACUGAGCUCUUUCUCAAAAGAAUGCAAAGGUUCCUACCAUUAUCGGAAUAUCAUCACACUGUUGGGCUCAAGGGAGCGGGUUUGUGAGACCCGGUUCGUGAUGGUUUGAAUUUGGCAGAUAAGUUUUAGAAUUGUUCAAGUCUGCCCACAUCUUAAC
rnacentral:lncRNA from 1 species